rnacentral:tRNA from 1 species
UGACCUAUGGUGUAAUGGCAGCACAACAGAUUUUGGUUCUGUUUGUAUAGGUUCGAAUCCUGUUAGGUCAACCA